GUCGAACGACUCUGGUAUUGAUUGGUGCUUGCAUCAUGAUUUACAUUUGAGUGAGUGGCGAACUGGUGAGUAACACGUGGGAAACCUGCCCAGAAGCGGGGGAUAACACCUGGAAACAGAUGCUAAUACCGCAUAACAACUUGGACCGCAUGGUCCGAGUUUGAAAGAUGGCUUCGGCUAUCACUUUUGGAUGGUCCCGCGGCGUAUUAGCUAGAUGGUGGGGUAACGGCUCACCAUGGCAAUGAUACGUAGCCGACCUGAGAGGGUAAUCGGCCACAUUGGGACUGAGACACGGCCCAAACUCCUACGGGAGGCAGCAGUAGGGAAUCUUCCACAAUGGACGAAAGUCUGAUGGAGCAACGCCGCGUGAGUGAAGAAGGGUUUCGGCUCGUAAAACUCUGUUGUUAAAGAAGAACAUAUCUGAGAGUAACUGUUCAGGUAUUGACGGUAUUUAACCAGAAAGCCACGGCUAACUACGUGCCAGCAGCCGCGGUAAUACGUAGGUGGCAAGCGUUGUCCGGAUUUAUUGGGCGUAAAGCGAGCGCAGGCGGUUUUUUAAGUCUGAUGUGAAAGCCUUCGGCUCAACCGAAGAAGUGCAUCGGAAACUGGGAAACUUGAGUGCAGAAGAGGACAGUGGAACUCCAUGUGUAGCGGUGAAAUGCGUAGAUAUAUGGAAGAACACCAGUGGCGAAGGCGGCUGUCUGGUCUGUAACUGACGCUGAGGCUCGAAAGUAUGGGUAGCAAACAGGAUUAGAUACCCUGGUAGUCCAUACCGUAAACGAUGAAUGCUAAGUGUUGGAGGGUUUCCGCCCUUCAGUGCUGCAGCUAACGCAUUAAGCAUUCCGCCUGGGGAGUACGGCCGCAAGGCUGAAACUCAAAGGAAUUGACGGGGGCCCGCACAAGCGGUGGAGCAUGUGGUUUAAUUCGAAGCUACGCGAAGAACCUUACCAGGUCUUGACAUACUAUGCAAAUCUAAGAGAUUAGACGUUCCCUUCGGGGACAUGGAUACAGGUGGUGCAUGGUUGUCGUCAGCUCGUGUCGUGAGAUGUUGGGUUAAGUCCCGCAACGAGCGCAACCCUUAUUAUCAGUUGCCAGCAUUAAGUUGGGCACUCUGGUGAGACUGCCGGUGACAAACCGGAGGAAGGUGGGGAUGACGUCAAAUCAUCAUGCCCCUUAUGACCUGGGCUACACACGUGCUACAAUGGAUGGUACAACGAGUUGCGAACUCGCGAGAGUAAGCUAAUCUCUUAAAGCCAUUCUCAGUUCGGAUUGUAGGCUGCAACUCGCCUACAUGAAGUCGGAAUCGCUAGUAAUCGCGGAUCAGCAUGCCGCGGUGAAUACGUUCCCGGGCCUUGUACACACCGCCCGUCACACCAUGAGAGUUUGUAACACCCAAAGUCGGUGG
rnacentral:rRNA from 2 species